rnacentral:rRNA from 1 species
GACGUAGGGCGCGAGCGUUGUCCGGAUUUAUUGGGCGUAAAGAGCUCGUAGGCGGCUCGUCGCGUCGACCGUGAAAACCCGCGGCUUAACUGCGGGCUUGCGGUUGAUACGGGCGGGCUAGAGUUCGGUAGGGGAGACUGGAAUUCCUGGUGUAGCGGUGAAAUGCGCAGAUAUCAGGAAGAACACCUAUGGCGAAGGCAGCUCUCUGGGACGGUACUGACGCUGAGACGCGAAAGCGUGGGGAGCGAACAGG